AUCCUUACCUGGCAGGGAUCACACCAUGAUCAUGAAGGUGGUUUUCCCAGGACAAGGGUUAUCUUUUGUACUCUGGAUGUGCUGAUCCCUACGAUUUUCCCAAAUGUGGGAAACGCCAGUGAUUAAUUUGUGGUACCUGCGGACUGUGUUUGAGUUAUCCCCUG
ensembl:snRNA U1 U1 spliceosomal RNA